AGAGUUUGAUCCUGGCUCAGAUUGAACGCUGGCGGCAGGCCUAACACAUGCAAGUCGAACGGUAACAGGAAGCAGCUUGCUUCUCGCUGACGAGCGGCGGACGGGUGAGUAAUGUAUGGGGAUCUGCCCGAUAGAGGGGGAUAACUACUGGAAACGGUAGCUAAUACCGCAUAAUCUCUAAGGAGCAAAGCAGGGGAACUUCGGUCCUUGCGCUAUCGGAUGAACCCAUAUGGGAUUAGCUAGUUGGUGAGGUAAUGGCUCACCAAGGCGAUGAUACAUAGCCGACCUGAGAGGGUGAUCGGCCACAUUGGGACUGAGACACGGCCCAAACUCCUACGGGAGGCAGCAGUGGGGAAUAUAGCACAAUGGGCGCAAGCCUGAUGCAGCCAUGCCGCGUGUAUGAAGAAGGCCUUCGGGUUGUAAAGUACUUUCAGCGGGGAGGAAGGCGAUAAGGUUAAUAACCUUGUCGAUUGACGUUACCCGCAGAAGAAGCACCGGCUAACUCCGUGCCAGCCGCCGCGGUAAUUC
rnacentral:rRNA from 1 species